AGAGAAGGUUACAAGAGCGAACGGCGGAUGCCUAGGCUUCUGGAGGCGAUGAAGGACGUGGUAAGCUGCGAAAAGCACCGGGGAACUGCAAACAGGUAUUGAUCCGGUGAUCUCCGAAUGGGGCAACCCGGCAUGUUGAAGACAUGUCACUGAUUUAUCAGAGCAAACGAGGGGAACUGAAACAUCUCAUUACCCUCAGGAAGAGAAAGAAAUUAUCGAUUCCCUUAGUAGUGGCGAUCGAACGGGGAAGAGCCUAAACCGAUGUUGUUACGGCAAUGUCGGGGUUGUAGGAUCAUUCAUAAGAAUCCAUUAAUCGAACUGGAACGUUCUGGAAAGUUCGACCGUAGACGGUGAUAGUCCGGUACAGGUAAGAGUGAUGGAUCGAGAAUGACACCUGAGUAGGGCGGGACACGUGAAAUCCUGUCUGAAUCCGCGGGGACCAUCCCGCAAGGCUAAAUACUCCCAGAAGACCGAUAGUGAACCAGUACUGUGAAGGAAAGGUGGGAAGCACCCCGCGCAGGGGAGUGAAAUAGAACCUGAAACC
rnacentral:rRNA from 1 species